CAGAGAAGCUGAGAGAAUAAUCGAGAAGGAGGUAGAGAAGGAAAGAAGAGAUAGAGAAAGAAAAAGGGGGAAGAUGAUAAGAAAAAAUGGGAAAUAGGAAAGGAAAAAGAGAUUAUUGAAGAAGAUGAAAUAUGGACUCAAGUACAAGGUUCAUUUCUUUCAUUCUAUUCCAAGAGGAAAUAAGAAGAAGCAAGAGGUUUAAUUUCAUAAUGAUUAAUUCCGACUUGAAAGAAGAUGACAUGCUCUUUGGAGAAUUCCUGGUCAGAUAAGAACUUAAAAGGUUGGGAUAUAAUCAGCCUAUCGAAUUUGGUAAGGAUGGUUGGCCAAAGGGAUUAAACAUCAAAUCAAUUGUUUAUCUAGAGAUCAGACUGAUAUGUGAAUGUUGUGGUGUUUCUCAUUAUACUAAAAAUUGCUCAUAUUUGGCAACUCCAGUGGAAGUGAGAGAACGUUAUCCAUAUGAAGAAUAUUUUGAUUACAAUAAAAUAAUUACUGGAGACAUCAUCAUACAAAGAUGUAAAAAGAUUGAAGAUCAAAUAACUCUGGACGAGCCGAAUAACAUGCCAACGGAGGAUCUCUUCAUCAUUCAACCCGAGGAACUAACGACUAAAGAUGUAGAACAGGUGGAAAUCAAGAAAUUAGUCGUGAAGGAGUCAGAUGAAUUAGUUGCAUUCAAUGAAGAUGGGAUCAGCGUGCAAACUUCUAACUUCAUUGAAUUUGUGAUUAAGGAUGAUGAAAAGAUUGCAGUAUAUUUGAUUGAGUACGAAAUAGACAAUUUAGGCAGGUCAUAUCGUAUUCAAAAGGUAAAUGUAAGAGUUUGGAAAAUGUACGAGAUAUGGAACAAAGUCAAAUUAAGCAAGCUGAGCAGGAGCUCCAAAACCAUAUUCAAAGUGCCAUGAAAACUUGUGCAAAAGUCUAGCUAAUGACUUAAAAGAAGCAUUUCUUGGGAGGCAACCCAAGCUUUCUUUUUGUUUUAUUUAUUUUAAUUUCAAGUUAUAAGAUAGUUUAGUUUAUUAGUCUAUUUAGGAGACAUUACCCAUAUCCCGUUUACCCUUAGGUCAUUGAGUAAUUAAGUUGGUUAUUAGAUGUUUGAACUAAGUAACCCUUGUUCCAUGAGUUUAAUUUCUCAAAUCUAAUUUUUCAGGAACAUGACGUCGCGGAAUACUUAAACCAACAUUGACCUGGAGAAAAUGGGACAAAUCUCAAGUUUGGGGGAGAAUGUGGAAGAAGAGUCGAUCAAAUGCAACACCAAGACACCACAAUAUCAUAGGCAAUACUAACAUUUCAAGGAAGUCCUCAUUUUCCUUUAAAUUUAACAUUGAGGACAAUGUUUAGUUUAAAUUUGGGAGAGUGAAGUGUAUUAUUAUUAAUUGCCUACCUAAAAUUUUUUGAGUUGGACAUUUUGGCUUACAAUUAAUUUUGAGAUUUGGUAUUAAUUUAUGAACUGUGGAUAUGAUGCAUACUAGAUUGAUUGAAA